rnacentral:tRNA from 1 species
GAGGGUGUAGCUCAGUGGUAGAGUGCCUGCCUAGCAUGCACAAGGUCCUGGGUUCAAUUCCCAGUACUUCCA